UUUGGGGACAUAUCUUUAAAUGAUAUAUCCCUUCUCAGCUUCUUUUUCUCUCUCUCCCUCUGCUUUAUGGUUGCUGUAUGAUGAUUCUGUCUUGGAGCUGGCCAACUGUGGACUGAGACAUCUGAAACUGUAAACCCAAGAAAGCAGCUGUUGCAGGGAGAAAUGCCUUACUGGAAGAGCAUGGACCAGCACCUUGACCUAUGGAGACCUGACUCAGUGGCCCUAUCCCACCUGACAUAAGGCAGUGUCCCUGAAGGUGCAUAGUGUUUCCAGUUCUGAAGGUCAGAAGUGUGAGACCAAGGAAUCUGCAGGCCUGAGACUGCAAGG